AGAGUUUGAUCAUGGCUCAGAUUGAACGCUGGCGGCAUGCCUUACACAUGCAAGUCGAACGGCAGCACGGGAGCUUGCUCCUGGUGGCGAGUGGCGAACGGGUGAGUAAUAUAUCGGAACGUACCCUAGAGUGGGGGAUAACGCAGCGAAAGUUGCGCUAAUACCGCAUACGAUCUACGGAUGAAAGUGGGGGAUCGCAAGACCUCAUGCUCAUGGAGCGGCCGAUAUCUGAUUAGCUAGUUGGUAGGGUAAAAGCCUACCAAGGCUUCGAUCAGUAGCUGGUCUGAGAGGACGACCAGCCACACUGGAACUGAGACACGGUCCAGACUCCUACGGGAGGCAGCAGUGGGGAAUUUUGGACAAUGGGCGCAAGCCUGAUCCAGCAAUGCCGCGUGAGUGAAGAAGGCCUUCGGGUUGUAAAGCUCUUUUGUCAGGGAAGAAACGGUGGACUCUAAUACAGAUCACUAAUGACGGUACCUGAAGAAUAAGCACCGGCUAACUACGUGCCAGCAGCCGCGGU
rnacentral:rRNA from 1 species